GGGAAGGCUAAACUGCAGUCCGAGCGAACACAGCCAAAACAUGAAAGGGUNCGGUCUAACCGAAACACGAGACAAUCAAUCGCCGAACGGUGGAUAAACACUGGGCUAACCGGCCCAUAACACCGGAAUAACACCGGAAACCAGAUGCUAAUACCGGAUAACACCACUAUACGCACGUCUAUAUUUUGAAAGAUGCUUCGGCUAUCAAUCUUGCAUGGACCUGCUAUGUAUUAGCUAGUUGGUAAGGUAACGGCUUACCAAAUCAAUGAUGCAUAUCCGAGUUGAGAGACUGAUCUUCCACAUUGGAACUGACACACGGUCCUAACUCCUACGGGAGGCAGCAAUAUGGAAUCUUCCACAAUGGACUAAUGUCUGAUGGACCAACGCCUCGUGAGUGAAUAAGGGUUUCGGCUCGUAUAGCUCUGUUGGUAGUGAAGAAAGAUAUAGGUAGUAACUGGCCUUUAUUUGACGGUAAUUACUUACAAAGUCACGGCUAACUACGUGCCAUCAGCCGCGGUAUUACGUAGGUGGCAAGCGUUGUCCGGAUUUAUUGUGCGUAGAGCGAGUGCAGGCUGUUCAAUAAGUCUGAUGUGAAAGCCUUCGGCUCAACCGGAGAAUUGCAUCAGAGACUGUUGAACUUGAGUGCAGAAUAGGAGAGUGUAACUCCAUGUGUAGCGGUGGAAUGCGUAUAUAUAUGGAAGAACACCAGUGGCGAAGGCGGCUCUCUGGUCUGCAACUGACGCUGAUGCU
rnacentral:rRNA from 1 species